CCUACGGGAGGCAGCAGUGGGGAAUAUUGGGCAAUGGGCGCAAGCCUGACCCAGCAACGCCGCGUGAAGGAAGAAGGCUUUCGGGUUGUAAACUUCUUUUCUCAGGGACGAAGCAAGUGACGGUACCUGAGGAAUAAGCCACGGCUAACUACGUGCCAGCAGCCGCGGUAAUACGUAGGUGGCACGCGUUAUCCGGAUUUACUGGGUGUAAAGGGCGUGGAGGCGGGAAAGCAAGUCAGAUGUGAAAACCAUGGGCUCAACCUGUGGCCUGCAUUUGAAACUGUUUUGCUUGAGUACUGGAGAGGCAGACGGAAUUCCUAGUGUAGCGGUGGAAUGCGUAGAUAUUAGGAGGAACACCAGUGGCGAAGGCGGUCUGCUGGGCAGCAACUGACGCUGAGGCGCGAAAGCGUGGGGAGCAAACAGGAUUAGAUACCCCGGUAGUC
rnacentral:rRNA from 1 species